CUUCCUGUUUUAUUACCGCCCAUCUGUCCACUCCACGGAUGUGUGGCUAUGCUAACGGGAUAGACUGUCCGUCGUAGUCUGAAGGGGUUGAACCUGAGCGAUCUUAAUUCUGACACCUCUAUAUGAAAUGACAACACAUUUGAGG
ensembl:snoRNA